AGUGAACGCUGGCGGUAGGCCUAACACAUGCAAGUCGAACGGCAGCACAGCAGUAGCAAUACACUGGCGGCGAGCGGCGGACGGGUGAGGAAUGCGUCGGAAUCUGCCUCUUUGUGGGGGAUAACGUAGGGAAACUUACGCUAAUACCGCAUACGACCUACGGGUGAAAGUGGGGGACCUUCGGGCCUCACGCAGAGAGA
rnacentral:rRNA from 1 species